GAAGGGGAGGGGAGAGUGAGGGCGGCGCCAGCGGGCGUCACUGCCGCCGCGACGUCAGGUCGCACAGAGAAGAGAGAGGGAGAGCCGAGGAAGGAGAAGAGAGAGAAGACCGCACUGCUGCCUCGCCGCUGCUCACCGCGCCGUAUCGCGUCGCCGUCCAACCAUGUCGAAGAAGGAGAGGCGUCGCUGUUUUGAACCUGCGUCGCCGUCACUGUCGAUUGGGCCAGCUGGGGGAGAGUGAGAGAGGAACGAGAGAGCCCAUCAUGGAGAAAGGGGAGAUGCCGCCACUGUACCAGUCGCCGUCGAGCCCGCCGAGCAGAAGCUUCCAUGGCCGUUGCCGUCGAGCUCACAAGUGAGAGAAAGAGAGUUCGCAGGUGAGAGAGGAAGGUGUUCCGCCGCCGUUCGUUGCUGUGCAGCCACCGCCGCGUCUCACCGCCGAGGGGAAGUCUUGCCUACGCUGUUGCCGAACCGAGCCAGAUUCACCGAUUAAUGCUACCGCCUCCAGAACGGAUUUCCUGGUCUGAUUUCUGCUUCUUGCGGCUCCACCGUUCUGUUUUUCUGUAGCUGCAUC